rnacentral:rRNA from 1 species
GGUUAAGCGACUAAGCGUACACGGUGGAUGCCCUGGCAGUCAGAGGCGAUGAAGGACGUGCUAAUCUGCGAAAAGCGUCGGUAAGGUGAUAUGAACCGUUAUAACCGGCGAUGUCCGAAUGGGGAAACCCAGUGUGAUUCGUCACACUAUCGUUAACUGAAUACAUAGGUUAACGAGGCGAACCGGGGGAACUGAAACAUCUAAGUACCCCGAGGAAAAGAAAUCAACCGAGAUUCCCCCAGUAGCGGCGAGCGAACGGGGAGCAGCCCAGAGUCUGAAUCAGCUUGUGUGUUAGUGGAACGGUCUGGAAAGUCCGACGGUACAGGGUGAUAGUCCCGUACACCAAAAUGCACAGGUUGUGAACUCGAAGAGUAGGGCGGGACACGUGGUAUCCUGUCUGAAUAUGGGGGGACCAUCCUCCAAGGCUAAAUACUCCUGACUGACCGAUAGUGAACCAGUACCGUGAGGGAAAGGCGAAAAGAACCCCGGCGAGGGGAGUGAAAAAGAACCUGAAACCGUGUACGUACAAGCAGUGGGAGCACCUUCGGGUGUGACUGCGUACCUUUUGUAUAAUGGGUCAGCGACUUAUAUUCUGUAGCAAGGUUAACCGUAUAGGGGAGCCGCAGGGAAACCGAGUCUUAACUGGGCGUUAAGUUGCAGGGUAUAGACCCGAAACCCGGUGAUCUAGCCAUGGGCAGGUUGAAGGUUGGGUAACACUAACUGGAGGACCGAACCGACUAAUGUUGAAAAAUUAGCGGAUGACUUGUGGCUGGGGGUGAAAGGCCAAUCAAACCGGGAGAUAGCUGGUUCUCCCCGAAAGCUAUUUAGGUAGCGCCUCGUGAACUCAUCUUCGGGGGUAGAGCACUGUUUCGGCUAGGGGGUCAUCCCGACUUACCAACCCGAUGCAAACUACGAAUACCGAAGAAUGUUAUCACGGGAGACACACGGCGGGUGCUAACGUCCGUCGUGAAGAGGGAAACAACCCAGACCGCCAGCUAAGGUCCCAAAGUCAUGGUUAAGUGGGAAACGAUGUGGGAAGGCACAGACAGCCAGGAUGUUGGCUUAGAAGCAGUCAUCAUUUAAAGAAAGCGUAAUAGCUCACUGGUCGAGUCGGCCUGCGCGGAAGAUGUAACGGGGCUAAACCAUGCACCGAAGCUGCGGCAGCGACACUAUGUGUUGUUGGGUAGGGGAGCGUUCUGUAAGCCUGCGAAGGUGACCUGUGAGGGUUGCUGGAGGUAUCAGAAGUGCGAAUGCUGACAUAAGUAACGAUAAAGCGGGUGAAAAGCCCGCUCGCCGGAAGACCAAGGGUUCCUGUCCAACGUUAAUCGGGGCAGGGUGAGUCGACCCCUAAGGCGAGGCCGAAAGGCGUAGUCGAUGGGAAACAGGUUAAUAUUCCUGUACUUGGUGUUACUGCGAAGGGGGGACGGAGAAGGCUAUGUUAGCCGGGCGACGGUUGUCCCGGUUUAAGCAUGUAGGCUGAUUAUCCAGGCAAAUCCGGAUAAUCAAGGCUGAGGUGUGAUGACGAGGCACUACGGUGCUGAAGUAACAAAUGCCCUGCUUCCAGGAAAAGCCUCUAAGCAUCAGGUAACAUUAAAUCGUACCCCAAACCGACACAGGUGGUCAGGUAGAGAAUACCAAGGCGCUUGAGAGAACUCGGGUGAAGGAACUAGGCAAAAUGGUGCCGUAACUUCGGGAGAAGGCACGCUGGUGUGUAGGUGAAGUCCCUGCGGAUGGAGCUGAGACCAGUCGAAGAUACCAGCUGGCUGCAACUGUUUAUUAAAAACACAGCACUGUGCAAACACGAAAGUGGACGUAUACGGUGUGACGCCUGCCCGGUGCCGGAAGGUUAAUUGAUGGGGUUAUCCGUAAGGAGAAGCUCUUGAUCGAAGCCCCGGUAAACGGCGGCCGUAACUAUAACGGUCCUAAGGUAGCGAAAUUCCUUGUCGGGUAAGUUCCGACCUGCACGAAUGGCGUAAUGAUGGCCAGGCUGUCUCCACCCGAGACUCAGUGAAAUUGAACUCGCUGUGAAGAUGCAGUGUACCCGCGGCAAGACGGAAAGACCCCGUGAACCUUUACUAUAGCUUGACACUGAACAUUGAGCCUUGAUGUGUAGGAUAGGUGGGAGGCUUUGAAGCGUGGACGCCAGUCUGCGUGGAGCCAACCUUGAAAUACCACCCUUUAAUGUUUGAUGUUCUAACGUUGGCCCCUGACCGGGGUUGCGGACAGUGUCUGGUGGGUAGUUUGACUGGGGCGGUCUCCUCCCAAAGCGUAACGGAGGAGCACGAAGGUUAGCUAAUCCUGGUCGGACAUCAGGAGGUUAGUGCAAUGGCAUAAGCUAGCUUGACUGCGAGCGUGACGGCGCGAGCAGGUGCGAAAGCAGGUCAUAGUGAUCCGGUGGUUCUGAAUGGAAGGGCCAUCGCUCAACGGAUAAAAGGUACUCCGGGGAUAACAGGCUGAUACCGCCCAAGAGUUCAUAUCGACGGCGGUGUUUGGCACCUCGAUGUCGGCUCAUCACAUCCUGGGGCUGAAGUAGGUCCCAAGGGUAUGGCUGUUCGCCAUUUAAAGUGGUACGCGAGCUGGGUUUAGAACGUCGUGAGACAGUUCGGUCCCUAUCUGCCGUGGACGCUGGAGAAUUGAGGGGGGCUGCUCCUAGUACGAGAGGACCGGAGUGGACGCAUCACUGGUGUUCGGGUUGUCAUGCCAAUGGCACUGCCCGGUAGCUAAAUGCGGAAGAGAUAAGUGCUGAAAGCAUCUAAGCACGAAACUUGCCCCGAGAUGAGUUCUCCCUGAGACUUUAAGUCUCCUGAAGGAACGUUAAAGACGAUGACGUUGAUAGGCCGGGUGUGUAAGCGCAGCGAUGCGUUGAGCUAACCGGUACUAAUGAACCGUGAGGCUUAACCUU